rnacentral:rRNA from 1 species
GACGGAGGGUGCUAGCGUUGUUCGGAAUGACUGGGCGUAAAGGGCGCGUAGGCGGCUCGUGAAGUCGGGUGUGAAAGCCCGGGGCUCAACCCCGGAACGGCAUCCGAUACUGUCGGGCUCGAGUCCGGAAGAGGAGUGUGGAAUUCCUGGUGUAGCGGUGAAAUGCGCAGAUAUCAGGAGGAACACCAAUGGCGAAGGCAGCACUCUGGGACGUGACUGACGCUGAGACGCGAAAGCGUGGGGAGCAAACAGG